UUCCAUGAGUUGGAUGCUCUGGGCCCCGGGCCACACCCUGUGACUUGCGGGCAGUGAGCUUCACGGGAAGGCGUGUGAGUAAGCGUGCUCUCGCGUUGGAAGUCUCCUUGCCUCAUCCCUAAUCAUGUGAUCUAGGCUGAUAAGAAGCUAAUGCCAGGAAAAGAAAAUGUGUGUCUUUUGCCAACUCUCCAUCUGCUGGGCGGAGCUCCCGUCUGUAAUCCAGCCUCAGGCCAGAUUGCCGAUCGCUUCCCUCACCGCCGAGUCACAGAAGCACACAAUGUAUACACCAUGUAUCUGCAUGAAAACGAUGCAUCUUCCCGGAGCACUGAUCUUCCUCCACGAGGACUCACGGAAACAUUGUCUUCUAUAUUAAAAUGACCCAGACCCGUGGUGAACACCUGGCAGCUGGAGCGAUAGAGAGGCUCUCGAUGGUUUGGUCCAACAUUGAGCCACGGAGAUGUGUGUGGUCACCCAGAGAUGGCGUUCUGCCGAAAACCUGGCAUGGGCUCUAGACAGGAUGAACUGAGAAAUGCCACUAUUAAUUUUAUAUGCGAGGAUCCAAUUGCUUUUGCAGAAGGACACACAUUCCAGACAUUAACCCCGCACUUAAGUGCAGCCCACGUAUCAGUGGGGAUAGAUGGGUAAACGGCGAAGACUUGAGUAGCUGGAGCUGAGCGAGGCGGCCAAACAGGGCUCCACAGACCUGCCCAGGCUCCAAUCUGAUGGUGGCAAGUCCUCCCUGCCAGGGAACGGGGUCCUAAACUCCCUCCUCCCACAGAGCACAGGCAGAAGGCCCACCUGGGGCACGACAUGGGCCCUGGACGCUGGGAGCUGAGGGAUGUCGCAGGCUGCAUCCAAGCCUCCCACUCACUCAUCCACAGAGCAGGAUGGAGACGCUGUCCCCAAGCACCAAGGAGCUGUGAUGUCAAACUGCAGAGCGUGUGAGUGGGAAAAAAAGCCUCCUUGAGAAAACCACUGGAAACAACUCUAACACUGGAACUUU